UUCCGGUUGAUCCUGCCGGACCUGACUGCUAUCGGAUUGAUACUAAGCCAUGCUAGUCUUUGUAGUAAUACAAGGCAUACGGCUCAGUAACGCGUAGUCAACCUACCCUAUGGACGGGGAUAAUCUCGGGAAACUGAGCAUAAUACCCGGUAGACCACUUCUCCUGGAAUGGUUAGUGGUUAAAAUGAUUCGUCGCCAUAGGAUGGGACUGCGGCCUAUCAGCUUGUUGGUGAGGUAAUGGCCCACCAAGGCGAUUACAGGUACGGGCUCUGAGAGGAGAAGCCCGGAGAUGGGUACUGAGACAAGGACCCAGGCCCUAUGGGGCGCAGCAGGCGAGAAAACUUUGCAAUGUGCGAAAGCACGACAAGGUUAGUCCGAGUGAUUUCUGCUAAAGAGAUCUUUUGCUAGUUAUAAAACCACUAGUGAAUAAGGGGUGGGCAAGUUCUGGUGUCAGCCGCCGCGGUAAAACCAGCACCUCAAGUGGUCAGGAUGAUUAUUGGGCCUAAAGCAUCCGUAGCCGGCUCUGUAAGUUUUCGGUUAAAUCUAUACGCUCAACGUAUGGGCUGCCGAAAAUACUGUAGAGAUAGGGAGUGGGAGAGGUAGACGGUACUCGGUAGGAAGGGGUAAAAUCCUUUGAUCUAUCGAUGACCACCUGUGGCGAAGGCGGUCUACCAGAACACGUUCGACGGUGAGGGAUGAAAGCUGGGGGAGCAAACCGGAUUAGAUACCCGGGUAGUCCCAGCUGUAAACGAUGCAGACUCGAUGAUGCAUUGGCAUAUAGCCAGUGCAGUGUCGCAGGGAAGCCGUUAAGUCUGCCGCCUGGGAAGUACGUACGCAAGUAUGAAACUUAAAGGAAUUGGCGGGGGAGCACCACAAGGGGUGAAGCCUGCGGUUCAAUUGGAGUCAACGCCGGG
rnacentral:rRNA from 1 species